UCAUCCCUUUCUUAGUGAAAUUCUUGGUUCUUGACCCAAAACCCUAAAUAGCAUGAGGGCUUGAUUUUAGCCCCAAAUUAGCUUGGUUUUCACCCAUUUCUUAGGGUUAUGAUUCCCUGAUCAUGUAUGAACAUUGGGUUGACCUUAGAAACAUGAUUUUUGUAAGUUGAACCCACUUGGGGUUUUUUAUGUCAUUUUUGGACCUGAAGAACAAUGGUGUAAUAUUAGUAUCAUUAUUCUCGAAUUGAUGAGUAGAUUAAAAUUUUGAUAGUGUGGAUAACGGGGGUGGUCUCUGAUCGCGGUCGGACUUGAGAUGCCCAUUACAAUAAGGUCCUGAGCGGGGUCGGGUCGGGUCGGGUCACUUUACAUCUACCUCUUCUACUUUUAUUUUGACAUAUUACGUACAAAGCAAUAUCUUACAACAUCUAAUUUUGCACGUUAUUGUCAUUCCUUUCCUCUUUAUCCUCUAUUUGCACAUCAUUGCUUGCUUCCUUGUCUAUCACAUUUUUAUCAAGAAAAUCAUCUUGAAUUUUAUGAGUUACAAUGUCAUGCGUUAUCUGAUUUGGAGAAGGCAUGCGAUAUAUAAUUGGAUGACAGUCUACAUUAGCUAUAAUUGUCAGUGGCUACUAUAUUGUUGAACUAAAAGCUCUUGAUUCUCCAAGUUAAUUAUGUGGAUGCAUUAUUUGAUGGAAACUCAAUUGAUUUGAGUCCUGAUCGUGGCUCCUCGUUCAAAUUUAAUCUUGGCGAAGAUAAUUUUUUUCCAUUCUUUGGGUUUAUAAAUUUGUUAGUAUUGUUGCAUGUCCGUAGUAUAUUUAGUUUAAGAAACUUAUGAUUUUUUCUGUACACGUGCAUUAGAUGGUAGGAUAUUGAGGUUGCGGAUUAAAAUAGAAGGUUAUGUUUUUUGUAAUAUCGUAACUUUAUGUGUAAUUUAGUUCUAAUAUUGUUGCAUACUUGUGGUAUAUUUAUUUUCAAAAAAAUGUGAUUCUUUUUUA